rnacentral:rRNA from 1 species
UCGGAUGUAAAAUCUCCCGGCUCAACUGGGAGGGACCAUUCGAUACUGUUAGGCUUGAGGGCAGCAGAGGGAGAUGGAAUUCCCGGUGUAGUGGUGAAAUGCGUAGAUAUCGGGAGGAACACCAGUGGCGAAGGCGAUCUUCUGGGCUGUUCCUGACACUGAGGCGCGAAAGCGUGGGGAGUGAACAGGAUUAGAUACCCUGGUAGUCCACGCCGUCAACGAUGGACACUAGGUAUGGGGAGUAUCGACCCUCUCCGUGCCGAAGCUAACGCGCUAAGUGUCCCGCCUGGGGACUGCGGCCGCAAGGUUAAAACUCAAUGGAAUUGACGGGGGCCCGCACAAGCAGCGGAGCGUGUGGUUUAAUUCGAUGCAACGCGAAGAACCUUACCAAGGCUUGACAUGCUGGAAGUAGCGACCCGAAAGGGAAGCGACCUGUUGAGUCAGGAGCCUGCACAGGUGCUGCAUGGCUGUCGUCAGCUCGUGCCGUGAGGUGUUGGGUUAAGUCCCGCAACGAGCGCAACCCUCGUUGCCAGUUGUUUUCUCUGGCGAGACUGCCCCCGAAACGGGGAGGAAGGUGGGGAUGACGUCAAGUCAGCAUGGCCCUUAUGCCUUGGGCUACACACACGCUACAAUGGAUGGUACAGUUGGUUGCAAUGGAGCAAUCCGGAGCUAAUCCUUAAAGCCAUCCUCAGUAAGAAUUGCAGGCUGAAACUCCCCUGCAUGAAGCUGGAUUGCUAGUA